rnacentral:lncRNA from 1 species
GGAACCGGGAAUAUCAGGAACUGAAGCUGUUCUCUGCCACCACUAGCUCUGUGACUUUUGGUUCAUAAUUGAUUCUCAGUUUUUCUCAACUGUAAAAUGGACUUAAUAGAGCUGUCACAAAGGAGGCUUUGUGAAGUCGAAGUGAGGUAGAACAUAUGAAAUAGCUUCAGACAGUGCCUGGGAUCCAGUACCAUUUAAUAAAAGUUAACUACUACAACCUCACCAGAAAAAUCUAUAAAUUAUUACAUAAUGUUUAUACCUUUCCAAGUGGGAACUUUAUAAGAUAGACAUUACUGAAAUUAGGAACUGCUGCUGCUUCUUGUUCUUUUUUUGCACUGGAGUCUUGAACCCAGGGGCACUUUACCACUCUGCAUUCCCAGGCUGCCACUUUUUAAAAUUUGAGACAGGAUCUCCAUAAGUUGCCAAGGCUGACUUCAAACUUGCAGUACUCCUACCUCAGCUUCCUGAGUUGCUGGGAUUAUAGGCAUUCGGGCGUCAAGAAAUACAUUUCUGAUAUAGGAAACUGGUUGGAUUCCAGCUAUAAAAGCAUGGGUAUAAAACAGUGAGUGAUUCAGGCUCCCAAAUCUGGAAUCAGUCUGUGGGUUUGAAUCUUGGCUUAUUUUUCUAGUUGAGUGAUUGGGGCAAGCUAUUCAACCUCUUUGUGCCUCACUUUCCUCAUCUGUAAAAGAAUAAUAGUGAGGCUAAUAAUUACACCUACCUUAGAGUAGUAUAAGGAUUAAAUGAAAAUAUGUGUGUGUUUUAUGUAUAUGCAUCAACACUCUGUAGGGGUUUGCUGUACUAUUUACUAUUCCUCCUCUCUUCUCCCAUCCUGUAAAUCAUCUGGAUAUUCCCUGGAUUCCCUCCUCAUAUCUUCUUUUAUUGGGAGACUCCUCUGUACAAUAUAUGCUUGUCUUUUUCCCUCUGUUUUUACUGCCUUCCAACUUAUUUUAAUUCAGAUGCCUUUUUCUUAUGUGUAAUACUUCUUAUCAGUCUCCUUCCUUGGGUAUUUUUGCCUAGAUACUUUGAAAGAUCUGCUUUUCUUUUAUGUGGGGAAACCAGCUGUGUUAAGUAUACUUUCAUAUCAAAGAAGAUUAAAGCCAUAUAGUCUAAAACAAAUUAAAAAUGUAUUCUUUACUGAAUAUUUAUUCUGCCAGAUAUUUAGAGAAUAAACAGGCUUAGAAUGAUCGAAUAACAUGUUUAGAGGCAUCUAGCAUUUUAAGUAGGUUUGAUCAAAGCCAGGCCUACCUGGCUCUUGGUCUUGGUCCCUGGGUUCAGUGUCUAAAGUCUCCAAGCACCAAUUCAAGAUUCUAGCUGUACUUUGUUAGCCUGUAAUCUGCUUUCCUUCACACUCCAGCUUUUGAAAUGACAGAAUCAUUCACAGUGCUCUUUGACUGACUGUGGUACCUUUCUGCUCUUUUGGCAGGGCAGAGGUGUAGUGUUUCAUAUACUUUAUGUGUUAAAUUGGUCUUUUGUGUUUUACUUGGAAACUUAACCACAUUUACAGUAGUGUGUAUUGGGGCAAAAUGUGCUUCAAGUUUCAAACAAGUAAUUGGGAAUGAAUUUUUAAAAAGGCAGAACAGUUUUU